rnacentral:rRNA from 1 species
AGUGAACGCUGGCGGUAGGCCUAACACAUGCAAGUCGAACGGCAGCACAGUAAGAGCUUGCUCUUACGGGUGGCGAGUGGCGGACGGGUGCGGAAUACAUCGGAAUCUACUUUUUCGUGGGGGAUAACGUAGGGAAACUUACGCUAAUACCGCAUACGACCUACGGGUGAAAGCAGGGGAUCUUCGGACCUUGCGCGAUUGAAUGAGCCGAUGUCGGAUUAGCUAGUUGGCGGGGUAAAGGCCCACCAAGGCGACGAUCCGUAGCUGGUCUGAGAGGAUGAUCAGCCACACUGGAACUGAGACACGGUCCAGACUCCUACGGGAGGCAGCAGUGGGGAAUAUUGGACAAAGGGCGCAAGCCUGAUCCAGCCAUACCGCGUGGGUGAAGAAGGCCUUCGGGUUGUAAAGCCCUUUUGUUGGGAAAGAAAAGCAGCGGGUUAAUACCCCGCUGUUCUGACGGUACCCAAAGAAUAAGCACCGGCUAACUUCGUG